rnacentral:rRNA from 1 species
AGAGUUUGAUCCUGGCUCAGAAUCAACGCUGGCGGCGUGCCUAACACAUGCAAGUCGCACGAGAAAGGGGAGCAAUCCCUGAGUAAAGUGGCGCACGGGUGAGUAACACGUGAAUUAUCUACCUCCGAGUGGGGAAUAACUGAGAGAAAUCUUAGCUAAUACCGCAUAAUACCCACGGGUCAAAGCAGCAAUGCGCUUGGAGAGGAGUUCGCGGCCGAUUAGCUAGUUGGCGGGGUAAUGGCCCACCAAGGCGAUGAUCGGUAUCCGGCCUGAGAGGGCGCACGGACACACUGGAACUGAAACACGGUCCAGACUCCUACGGGAGGCAGCAGUGGGGAAUUUUGCGCAAUGGGGGAAACCCUGACGCAGCAACGCCGCGUGGAGGAUGAAGCCCCUUGGGGUGUAAA